GAUCCUGCUCAGGACGAACGCUGGCGGCGCGCCUAACACAUGCAAGUCGAACGGGGUUAUACGGGAUGAAGUUUUCGGAUGGAAUUCUGUAUAACCUAGUGGCGGACGGGUGAGUAACACGUGAGCAACCUGCCUAUCAGAGGGGGAUAACGAUUGGAAACGAUCGCUAAUACCGCAUGACAUAGCGAAACCGCAUGGUUUUGCUAUCAAAGAUUUAUCGCUGAUAGAUGGGCUCGCG
rnacentral:rRNA from 1 species